rnacentral:lncRNA from 1 species
CUUCCGCUCACGAUUUCCAUGACCACAACGCCAAAGCUAUAGACAUCGGCCUUCUCCGUGAUUUGUGAUGUCAACCAUUCAGGGGCUAGAUAACCAGGUGUGCCUCUCAUUCUUGUAACCACUUGACUCAUAUCCCUAUCAAUGAGCUUGCAUAGUCCAAAAUCGGAAAGUUUAGCAUUGAAGUCAUCAUCUAAGAGGAUAUUUUGUGGCUUGACAUCCAAAUGAGCAAUUCUCUUCAUGCAAUCCUCAUGAAGAUAAGACAGACCCUUAGCUAUGUCAGCGAUAAUCUUGCAUCGCACCCUCCAUUCUAACGGAGGAGCACUAUUUUCAUGUCGACCAUAGAUCCACCUGUCCAAGGAUCCUUUUGGCAUAUACUCAUAAACCAAGAGCCUAUGGGAUUUCUCUGCACAGAAGCCAAACAGCCUCACCAGAUUGAUAUGAUGAAUGCUACCGAUUGUCUGAACCUCCGCCAAGAAUUCUCUCUUUCCCUGACCAGCUCGAUCCAAACGUUUUACCGCAAUCCUUUCCUCGCCUAGCUGCCCUUCGAAAACAGACCCAAAUCCUCCUUCCCCGAGCUUGUCCUUGAAUUGCUCUGUUGCUGCUUCUAACUGUUGAAACGUAAACCUCAUUGGUGUUCCUUGUAGCUGAUCAAACUCUGCCUCCUCAUCUGUCAUCUCAUGGUGUCGUCGUGUUCCUCUUCGACGUAUGAUGAAAAAGAUGAAUGUGACGAUUAUUAAACCUAUGGCACCUGCAAUUGCAACUGAAACAGAAGUGCCUAUUGAGGGUCCUUUGCGUAGUGGCCUAAGAUCAGCUGAGUUAGGAGGACUUGGAGGUGAAGACGUUAGAUUGACCGGUGGGCAGAAGAUGACCUGGUAGUCGGUAUCAAAUGGGCAGCUGAAUGAAGUAUCUGUGGCAGCAUCACUGGAGUAGCUUAUUGCCUCCGGGCACAUCCGCACAAAGAAGGCCGAGUAUUUGUUGGAUUCACAAUUUCUCUCGCAGCAGUACAUAUAAUUAUUCUGCUCCUGGAACACUGUACAUGCGCUGUUGCAGCCUCCCGGUGCCUUGAGCUCGCUCGGACACUGUGACGUGAUGUUGGCCCCACAGUGGGGCCCCUUUCUGCACCCUGGUCCUCCUUGUCCCUUGACCGGCAUUGGCAGGAACUCCAUGGGUACAUUGAAGCCCUGGUAGAGGGAGAUGCCGAAGAAACUGUUGUUGUUGUACUGGUUGAGCGAGAAUUGAGCAGACGUGUAGGGUGGUUGACCAUCUCCCUUGCAGGUGAGCAAGCCUUGGCAGUCGCCUGUCUGGCAUGACCCGUGGCCUUUGCCGUCAAACGAGCAGCCUGUGCGUGCCCACACGCUUCCUCCACGGGUGGCAUAGGGCACCUUGAGGGUCCAUGUCUUGCCAGGCUGCAGCCGCCUGCCGCCGCCCACCGGGAAAGCGGCCGGCCAUACGGUGUAGGGGCAUCGGUUGGUGAUGUUGAGUAUGGUUUGGGAUUGGGUGGUGAUGACUGGCAGGAGGAGCAGGAGGCGGAGGAGGAAGAGCAGGUGGAGAGUCAGGGAGAUACCUCUAACUGCCAUUAGUGCCGUCUGCUAACAGGACUCCUCUUGGGUGAGAUGAUAACGGAGGAAGAGAUGCCUACAUUAGUGUACUUGUCUAAUAUGUGCGUGUUGAAUAAUUCAACGGUCAACAUACAACAGCCUGACAUGAGAACUGUUUGAUAGGACCAGACUUGAUUGUGGAACUUGUCUGCUUACAAAUCACUUAUACUAGCAAGAUGCUCAUGCGUUGCACAGAACAUCAAGAUGCAUUUGUAUGAAUAGUUUAUCUUGUGGGACAAAAGGAUGAACGAGGGAAGGCCUAUUUGUAAAUGUGGAGAGGGGUGUGGGUAUCUUUUUGCAAAAUUGCCAUAGUUUCCUUCCUAUCCGCCAGAUAUAAAUCAGACAGCCUAUAUUGUAGGAUGGCAGGCACACCAUCAUCACCAACUCUGUUUUUUAUAAUCACUUAUAUAUUUGUGCGUCUUCCAAAAAGGAGGAAUUGCAUCUGUACAUCCGUAGAAUUAACGUGUUUGAUGAUUUUGGCUGCAAGGAAUAUGCACACACGGUGCCAAAUCUGAGCAAAUAUUACAUAUGUGUUUUCACAUGAAUAAAACAGGCUGUUUGGUAAAUUUCACCAUCAGAGCGUUGGCUUUUUUUUUGUGUGUGUUCACAUAGAGUAUUUUAGAAAUUUGUUGGGUUGCAUGACUCUCUUCCUUCCUGAUGAUCCGCUCCAUGCUUUCUUGCGACAGAAACGGUCAAGAGUGAAGACCACCUCUUCUACAAGUGUGAUACACAGUCAGAUUGUGGGAAAUGAUAAAAGGGAUGGCUACAGCUAGGACAUCUCGACGCCUCCACUUGGCAUCUCUUCCAGUCCACCAACUAUUGGUGGGUGAGUCAAUCUGACAACAACAUUCCAAACCGGAAGGCGAUGGCUUCAUUAACCAUGCUUAUCUCUUGGACAAUUUGGAAUGAAAGAAAUGCACGCGUCUUCCUUCAAAAAAGCGCCCCGCCGAUGGUCCUGCUUAGCAAUAUCAAGGUUGAGGCGGCGGUUUGGGUCAGGUGCCAAACACUUGGGUACUAUGAUGCCAGGAGAGUAAUGACUUUUGUAUUGACGGUGUGUUGUAAUGCCUUACUGUAACACAACAAACUCUAUUCUCUUUUAAUUAAUAGAUGAAGCAAAUCUUUUACCUUCGUUUCAAAAAAAAAAGUGAAGACCACUUUGCAAAAUGUAGCUGGUGGUUGGGGUCAAGCUGAAGCUGACAGCGGUGGGCAGCUGCAUGGAAGCAGAUGGAUGCCUCGUUGACUGGCCGUCAACCAUAACUCUAUGGUUUGCGUGCUGACGAGGGUGGCAGAAACCUUGUCUUUUUUGUGAAUAUCCGUAUUACCCAGCGGAAAGUAAUUUUGGUAAUUCUUUUUGUACAUUUUGCUGCGCCAAACCUGAGGUUAUCGCGAGUGUUUUUGGUUGCACAGUUGACAGAAUUGUGGUUCGCUGCUUGACAAGAAUUUAGUUACUUCCUCCGUUUCAAAAUAUAGUUUUUCCUUUAUUUUCAUGCCUCAACUUUGGCCAUAAAUUUAACCAACGAGACAGACUGUGGCGGGAAUAAAAGUUAUAGCAGUGAAUUCGUAUUUAAAAGAAGUUUUCAAUUAUAUAACUUUUUCUUCCGCCGCAGUCGGUCUCGUUAGUUAAAUUUAUGGUCAAAGUUGAAUCUCGGAAAGCGCGGGCGCACUAUAUUUUGGAAUGAAGGGAGUACCUGCUAAACGACUUUCAGGUAUGGACACGAAUAACCAGCGAUCGUUCUCCAGGGGAGAAAUCCUCGCGAACGAAUCGUUCCCUUGGGGUUCGAUCGGGUGAACAAUUUCAUUCGCAACGAGAACCACCCCGGAGCGAACAAGCCCAGACAGGCCGCUUUACUAGGCCUUGCAGCCUGAUUACACACAAAAAAAAUGACAGGAACAAAGAAGAAAAACAAACAAAAUGCAAUGAUACAAGCAAGUAAAUUUUUCCAUGCAUGGCAAACUAAUUUUGUCAUGUAAAAGGUCACAUGGCAAAAAAUAAACAAAAAUAUGUUUAUUUACCAAAUAUGUAUAGCUACCCGGCAAAAAAAAAUUUGUCAUGCUCUAAAGAAUAAAAGUACCACAUAUUUUUUAAAAUAAAUAAAUCAUGUGUAAUGUAAGGCACACAAAAAUGCCAUGCUUGUCCAAAAAAUAUAAUACAUCAAGUCAGAGCAGUUAUUAAACUAAAAAAAAGACAGAACUUGACAUAUAGAAGAAAAUACUUAACAAUUAUUUUUGUGCCUAAGUUAAUAUUAAGUAUAAGAUGAUGGUAAAAGAAAUAUUGAAAAGAAAACUGGUGAAAAAUUAUAAUGAAAAUAAAUUUUCCAUGGGAUGUCUAGUAAUUUUCUAUGAUAUACCAAAAAGAAUUUACCAUGCUUUGUUCAACAAAUUCCAUGUUUUGAAAAAUAAUAUUGAAAACAGAAUUUGUGAUGUUGUAUGAAUUAAAAGUUGCCUUAAUGUGUACAAAAAAAUUUCGCCACGGUCCAAACAAUAAGUUUGGCAUUGUUUAAUUUUUUUGCCAUGGUCCCAAAAUUAAUCAUAGUCUAAAAUACAAUUCCAUGUUUUAAACAAUAAAUUUUGCCAUGGUUUAAACAAUAAAUUUUCCAUGGUCCCAAAAAUUAUCAUGGUCUAAAAUAUAAAUUUUCCAUGUGUUUAAACAAUAAAUUUUGCCAUGGUUUGAACAAUAAAUUUUCCAUGGUCCAAAAGUGUAAAUUUGAUAUGGUUCAAAAAAUAAAGCUGUCAUGGUUCAAGAAAUAAAUUUGGUAUAUGGUAUAAAUUAUAAAAUUUUCCAUGGUCCAAAAAAUAACUUUGCCAUGAUUCAAACAAUAACUUUUCUAUGGUUCAAUUUAAAAAAAACAUGAUCCAAAAUAAAAAAUUUGACAUGGUCCAUAAAAGUAAAAUUUGCUAGAUGGUCUAGAAAAGAGAUUAUGAAUGUUGAUUAAUUACGUGAUACAUCUAACAAUAUUGAUUUGGUAUUAUGAAUGUUGAUGACUUUUCUUAUAAACUUAGUCAAAACUUUACAACGUCUGACUGAAGACAAAUCUUAACAUAACAUGAUACCAGAUCAGACUUAUGGACAAGAACAAGUCAACGGCUAUCUAGUACGAGGAUGUGGAGCAAACAAGCAUUUUUAUUUUAUUUUGAGGCAAACAAGCUGGAUCAUGAUAUCAGGUCAAGCGAAAGCCCACCUGGACUUGAUAGGGCCAGACAACGCGGCCCAACGUGUUCGUGGCCCAGACCGGCCAGAGAGAAAAUCGGCCGGGCCCGUCCCCUUCCUCCGCCGCCCCCGCCGCACUGCCCGGCGGAUGCUGCCGCUCCGGUGGACCAUAUUCCCACUUCUGAUGGAUUCCGGUCGUCCCUGCGCUCCUGUGGCACCCCCUCCCCCCUGCCGUCUCCGGUAGCUCACUGCCGGCAGCGGCCACCGCAUCGAUAGGUUUGAUUCGCAGGUACUCCAAUCAACUACAGAUUUGUGGAUCCUCCUACUAAUCAACUACUCGUGCAAGGAUUCUGAGCGCUCGGAGGCGAGGCGAAGAGCCUGAGUCUACUGAGCUCAGAGGAAUAAUCCAGAGGGGGCGCACCAUUGGCACGGUAAGCGCGAUACGUGCUAGGCACGGUGGAUCUUUCACUCCAUGAGCAGGGUAGUUUAUGGCUGGCUUCUCGUGUACAGACUCGCCAAGUUGCGAGCUGUUGCAACGUGCGAUGCCCUGCGCCUUACAGGCUAACUGAAUUGAAUCUUAUAUGACAUACUCCCUCCGUUCCAAAAUAGAUGACCCAACUUUGUACUAAAGUUAAUACAAAGUUGGUUCAUCUAUUUUGGAACGGAGGGAGUAUAUGGUACACUUCCUAAGCACAGCAUUACCUUGUAAUGAAGACUCGCUGGUAGUUUUUUCUCAAACACCCGUUUGCACCCAAACAGCUUAAAGCAGGGCUCGUGACUACACUGGAAAUUGGGAGAACAUAAAACCACUUGUGGUUUCUAACUUUCUAAUUGUUCUGUGUUAGUUAUUCCUACUCCUACGAUGUAAUUCAAUUCAUUCUGUCAAUUUAUCUUCAUUUAUUGGAGCUAGGAGCAUUUUGGAACAUGCUAUUAAUUUCAACUAGAAUAAUUGGAAACAGGUCUGCAUUACAGCGAGAAACUGAACAAACUGUAGAAUAAAAUAAGUUCUUUGCUGUAGAACAAGAAGGUUUUUAAUAUUAAAACAUUUUGCAGGUAAAAUUAACUCAAGAUAAGCAGCUUCAGAUUGUACUGCUUGGAAAAGAUACAGGUAGCAGACAGGUCUUUUACUUUCAGAACAUCAUCUGCUCAUAAUCGUACUGUCUGUCUUGCUGGGAUUGUCGCAUUUCACCUUGGAGCUGAUACAUCUGAGGCUACAGGUGGAGCUGAAGAGUUCACAUUUCCAGCAAUACCGAAAUUUGGUUCAUUUGUUGCGACAAAGUUAUGAUCUAUGUUGCUCUCUGCAUCCAUGGUACCUUCCAAGACUUUGACCACCUCGGACAUUUUAGGCCUUCCUUUGCAGUCAAUCUGCAAACACCACAUCGCGAGCUUCAUCAUCUGAAUCGCAUCUCGCUCGUGCGCUUGCAUGUCGUUGCUGCUCUUGUCAAUCAAAUCUUCCAAGUGAUUUUUCUUCACCUUUUCUUCCAAUAGGGUAAUAAGAUGGAUGUUCUCUUCAGACAGGGAAGUGUCGAGGUUCUUUCUUCCGCUCACGAUUUCCAUCACCACAACGCCAAAGCUAUAGACAUCGGCCUUCUCCGUGAUUUGUGAUGUCAACCAUUCAGGGGCUAGAUAACCAGGUGUGCCUCUCAUUCUUGUAACCACUUGACUCAUAUCCCUAUCAAUGAGCUUGCAUAGACCAAAAUCAGAAAGUUUAGCAUUGAAGUCGUCAUCUAAGAGGAUGUUUUGUGGUUUGACAUCCAAAUGGGCAAUUCUCUUCAUGCAAUCCUCGUGAAGAUAAGACAGACCCUUAGCUAUGUCAGCGAAAAUCUUGCACCGCACCCUCCAUUCUAACGGAGGAGCACUAUUUUCAUGUCGACCAU